rnacentral:lncRNA from 1 species
AACCCAGCUGACUUGGGUAUAUUUAAUAUUUGGGAAUUUUUCCCUGGCAACCACCUUAUAUUUGAUUUAAAACACGACACUGUCUUGAAACCAUAUUUUCUGUGGUCACAAUUUAAGCCAACCACUCUUUUAUCUGUAACAGUUUAUGACUCCCACUAUUUUAAUCAUUACAGUACCCUGUUUUUAGUUUAUUCCUUUGUUGUCUUCAGACUAGCUCCUUCCAGCCUUCACAAAAACAAGUGCCAUCCAUUGUCACAAGGACAACUCAAAGGAAAAUGUGAAGAGAUCUGUGCACAACAGUCCCCUGUCUUAGAAAAAAACCAUCAGCAUACAAGUCCUACUGAUACUAUGAAAAGUAACCACCACCUUUUCCCCAGGUCUGCCAGAGUCAUUUUCAAGGUUUCCAGAGGACAAGUGGUUGGAGAGCCGCGUGGCCAGGUGCCUCCCAUCUCCACCAUGAAGCUGUUUACUUCGGUGAUGAUCUACGUUCCCAUCAGCCUCGUCCUCCUGUCCGCUUUCUGGCACACAACUUGCUUAGCAGAAACACACAAUUCCUCAUCGGUGUUUCACGCUCCCGUCUCAGACUCGGCGAACAAGGCACAGUGCUCUAGUAAGCUUUCUGCAAGCGCUGAAACUCCACAAACUGCAGAUUUAAGAGUUUUCUUUUGGUUUUAG